UGGUUCUCUGGUUCUACUGUUAUAGCUAAAAUUUCUUUGUCUUGCUGAGAAAAAAGAUCAGGAUUAUUAGCUAUAACAGUAGAACCAGAGAACCACUUUUGAGUAUUCCACCAAUAGGUUAGCCACGGGGUGUAGUGGGCAACACGGAGUGCCCACUGAUCUGGUGUAGGCUGUUGGUGGUAGGCUUCAUUAGAUAGGUUUGCAGGAAAACCAAGCCACCAAUAGUUAAUAACUGGAGCUAAUAGCGUAACUCCAGCUAGCCUGUGAGGAAUGUACUUGAGACAGCUCCAAGUAAACUCGCCACCCAUGGAAAAGGCAAUUACAUAGAAUUUGGAUCCAAGACCCAGUUGAUCAGCAAGUUCUUCAAUAUCUAAAGCAAAACUUUUCAACAUUCGUUUUGGAUGAGGAUCGCUCUCUCCAUAACCUGGUCUGUCAAAAGACACAAUGUAGACCCCUAAUUCUUUGACAAUUUCCGGUGAAAGGUGAUUGGCAACAGCAGGAUUGUG
rnacentral:misc_RNA from 1 species